GAUGAAGAACGUAGUGAAAUGCGAUAAGUAAUGCGAAUUGCAGAAUUCCAGUGAGUCAUCGAAUCUUUGAACGCACAUUGCGCCCUUUGGUAUUCCGAAGGGCAUGCCUGUUCGAGCGUCAUUAUCACCCCUCAAGCCCUCGGCUUGGUGUUGGACGGUUUGGUGGAGGCCCCCUCGGGGGCUCCUGCCCCUCCCAAAGACAAUGACGGCGGCCUCGUUGGACCCCCGGUACACUGAGUUCUUCACGGGACACGUAUCGGACACAUGGGUUUACGGGACACGGUCUGCCUCCCCUCAGGGAGAAUCUUUCUAAGGUUGACCUCGGAUCAGGUAGGGAUACCCGCUGAACUUAAGCAUAUCAAUAACGGAGGA
rnacentral:misc_RNA from 1 species